CCUCUUCCGCCUGCUGUGGACAGAUGAAGUGCACAUGAGAAUCCAUACCACCGUACGUAACAAUCUUAUUUUCAGCUGAAAUCACGUCUGUAGCCGAUCCUAUAGUCAUAUUGGGUGAGAUGUCAUCCAUUGUAUCGGGGUUACCAGCUUUUCCAAUGCCGACAAUAAAACCAUCCUUGAUUCCAAUGUCUGCCUUGUAAAUACCGGUGGAAUCGAUGACAACGGCAUUUGUCAACACAGUUGACAAACAUUCAGACGCACUCUUUCCACUGGCUUGUCCCAUUCCAUCACG
rnacentral:sRNA from 1 species